rnacentral:ribozyme from 11 species
UUCAUUCUUUUUUUUUUUUCUUUUCUCUCCCUUCAUCUCAACCACCUAAAUCGGGAUUCCCCAUGAUAUCUUCCUAUCUGGAGAAACAAGACAGUCAGGAUGCAGAGAGACACUGCA